CUUCUACUUGCUCCAUCCGAAAAAGUUUGUCUACUAAAUGGAUGUAUCUAGCGUCAAGUUAGUGUUAGAUACAUUCAUUUGGGAGACAAGUUUGACAUAAGUUUUUUCGGACGGAGUGAGUACUAC
rnacentral:pre_miRNA from 1 species